UGACGCGUUUGGUUGUGGGUUCGCUUGCUGAGGUUUUUCCCUUUUCAGGAUAUGGGCGAUGGAGCUUCAGAAGAGUUAUAUUCAUUUUCUGUUUAUUCGACAUUUAUUUCUAGCAAUUUUUACAAGAGGGAUAGGAGUUUUGAUAUGUGAAGUUUGUAUAUUGGUAUGAUGUAUACAUAUAUAUGUAUUAUUUGUAAGUAUUGUAAUCUGUACUAUAACGUAUGGAUAGAAGUUUUGAAUAUUCGGUUUUAAGUUUUAAACAGGCUCAUAUUUUAGUAUUAAA